rnacentral:rRNA from 1 species
UGGGGAAUUUUGGACAAUGGGCGAAAGCCUGAUCCAGCAAUGCCGCGUGUGUGAAGAAGGCCUUCGGGUUGUAAAGCACUUUUGUCCGGAAAGAAAUCCUCUGGGUUAAUACCUCGGGGGGAUGACGGUACCGGAAGAAUAAGCACCGGCUAACUACGUGCCAGCAGCCGCGGUAAUACGUAGGGUGCAAGCGUUAAUCGGAAUUACUGGGCGUAAAGCGUGCGCAGGCGGUUUUGUAAGACGGAUGUGAAAUCCCCGGGCUUAACCUGGGAACUGCAUUCGUGACUGCAAGGCUAGAGUAUGGCAGAGGGGGGUAGAAUUCCACGUGUAGCAGUGAAAUGCGUAGAGAUGUGGAGGAAUACCGAUGGCGAAGGCAGCCUCCUGGGCCAAUACUGACGCUCAUGCACGAAAGCGUGGGGAGCAAACAGGAUUAGAUACCCUGGUAGUCCACGCCCUAAACGAUGUCAACUAGUUGUUGGGGAUUCAUUUCCUUAGUAACGUAGCUAACGCGUGAAGUUGACCGCCUGGGGAGUACGGUCGCAAGAUUAAAACUCAAAUGAAUUGAC